CUGGAAAUUAUAUUUUUAAUAUUGAAAUGUGGCUCAUGAUUCCAAAGCAUGGCAAACAUGGAUGAAUACAUGCAAUAACUGGUUUUUUUAUAGCAAAAUUUUUGAAAAUAGAAAACAUUCCCCUGUUUUUGCAAUCAUUUUGGGAAUUUAUAUUUGUUCAACUUGGACAAAAGAAAUGAACUUUCAUACAACUUUAUCACCGUUUUCCAUGAAAUCCAUCGUCAUUCUUCACGGAACAGAAUCAAAAUCCCCUUUGCUUACCCAUGUUCUCUUCCUUUCAUACAACUUUAUCUGAGCAACAUUCGCCAUUGUCGGUUGGUGCACAGCUUUAACAGCUUUUUGUCCAUUCAUUUAGCUCUUCAAAUCCAUCCAAAAUCUUCACUCCUCGCUGUCUUAAGCUCACUCGCCAUCUUUUCUUUAUGUACAAAUCUGCCUCACAUGCCUUAAAUUUUGGUUAAUAAUCAGUUAUAUAAAGAGUGAUUCGAGUUCACUGUAUUGUUAAUAUGAUGAGAAGAUUGGAAAGAUUUGAACUUUAACUCCGUUGAUUGCUGCUUUAGUGACUGCUUGCAGAUCCAGUAAGACUAUAGUACCGUUGUGUCCAAGAACUUCAGAAUGGAAUGGAAAAUCAGGUAAAUGUUUAGUGCUUCGCUGCAUAUCCGUUUGUAUCCGUUCAAAUUGUUUUUGUCAAUUUAUGCUCUUUGUUUUAAAGUUUACAAAAAUUCUGUCAGAUUUCUUAAUUAGAGUGAGCUGUUAAAUGCUAAAAUUAGAGGUCAAGUUGCUAUCUCUUUUCAAGAUAAACCCCCAGAAAAAAUAUGACAGAUGAUUCGGCCAGAAAAAGGCUCUUUAGCUGAGAUGAUUAAAGGGACAAAGUGGGUCUGGGAGUGAAGCCAAGUGGGUAUAAGAAAACAGAAAAUGCUGAGCCUGAAUGUUGCUGCAAAGGGGUUGUGAAAAGGCUGUUGAUUAGCGCAUUUCGAGCUAAGAAACAUGUUCAUUUCAUAUGACUCACAUGCAUCUGCCUCUAUCAUAAUCAUUUAAGCAAAUUGCUAGUUCUGGAGGAUAAGUUUGUUAGAUUAAUGAAUAUAUGAGCGGUUAUGGUCUCUCUAAAAGUUAAAUUGAGGCUGCGUUUCUUUUUAUUAUUUUUAGCUGCUUGCAAAAUGCAAAACCUAUUUGUUUAAUGGCAAUUAUAGUAACGCUUAACCUUGCCUUUUAAACUGCUUAAAUCAGCUUUCAAAGAUUUUGCAGGAAAAAGAAUGAAAAGAGUGUCUUUUGGCAGGUGAGAAUCUUGAAAUUCAGCAGUUGAUGGAUAAAUUGAGAGUGAUAAAGGGACUCCGUCCAAUUGGGUGUGCAUUAGAGAUAGAAAGAGAGGGAGGGUGGGGUCUGUUCGAUAGUCCUCAAAGUUGGCUUUAUUGUAGUGGGGUGUUGUGAUGGUUUGGAGAAUGUAACUGUCGUUAUAUCACGUGACUAUGCCCUUCUGUUUCCAUCACAUAGGAUUCUUCAAUUUUGUUUUAUUUCCCUGUGGAAAGAUGUAGUGGUAGUAACUAUCUUGCAUAGGCUGCCAUGCCCAUGGCUAUAUAUGCACUGUUAACUUCAAAGCUCCUGUUGUUCUAUACCCUUUUUGUCUUUUAUGGGCGGGUUGUUGUUCCACAUUUCGUGUUGGAUUGGGCUUCUUGAUUUACUCAAGAGCAAGAAACAGUGAGGUAUCAACCGGAAAAGGAAAAGAAAGGUAAACAUAUAAUUCUUAUUUGUAACACAAAAUCAGUGUAGGUGCAGAAUUAAAAUGAAGGCCCUUCUGCAUUUAUGAAGCUCUAUUUGAUUAAAUUUUAUUGUAGUUGAGCCUAACAUUUUAAGGAUUCACCAAAAACUAAGAUGUGGGUCACUUAACUUCAGAGGGUUUUUUUUUAAUAUGUUUUGGUGAAAAUUUUCAGAAAAAGAUGUGCAUUUUCUAAAAGUUUGGUGGGAUGUGCUGGAGGUAUGGAUGGCAUGUGGAUUUAUUGUAAAGUCAGUGAAUGGGACUUGUUCUUUUCUAUCUUCUCUGUUUGCGGGUUCUAUCUUCUCUGUUUGCGGGUGUAAAGCAGGGAUAUGCAUGGAUGCUUGGAAUUCACUAGGAUAUUCUUUUGAUCGUGUUUUCAGAUUCCAUUCUAAUUGCAUAUUCAGUAUAAAUAUUUGAUUCGUUGCAGAUCAACAAGUAUAUUGUUUCAGGAACUUCAAGAAAUAUAUUGUGAAGAUUGAGGCAUAAGAACCAUGGAUCUUGGGCAUGGUAAAUGUUGGGAUACCUCAAAGAAGGAUUCUUGGAAGACACUGUUGGUUUUGGCUUAUCAGAGCCUUGGCGUGGUAUAUGGGGACCUUAGCACUUCCCCUCUCUACGUUUACAAGAGCACAUUUGCAGAAGAUAUCCAGCAUUCAGACUCCAAUGAAGAGAUUUUUGGUGUUCUGUCAUUUGUAUUCUGGACUCUCACUUUGGUCCCCUUGUUCAAGUAUGUCUUCAUUGUACUUAGAGCUGAUGACAAUGGAGAGGGCGGUACUUUUGCAUUAUAUUCCUUGAUAUGCCGGCAUGCAAAAGUUAGCCUUCUGCCCAAUAGACAGGUUGCAGAUGAAGCACUAUCCACUUACAAAAUGGAGCACCCUCCAGAGAAGAAUAAUAAUUCAAGGGUUAAAAUGUACCUUGAGAAGCACAAGGGAUUGCAUACUGCUUUGCUGAUCUUGGUACUUCUUGGUACAUGUAUGGUAAUUGGAGAUGGACUGCUUACUCCGGCAAUUUCUGUUUUUUCUGCAGUGUCUGGCCUUGAGUUAUCCAUGUCCAAGGAGCAUCAUCAGUAUGCUGUGAUUCCAAUCACUUGCUUUAUCUUGGUUUGUCUUUUUGCACUACAACACUAUGGGACACAUCGAGUGGGAUUUUUCUUUGCACCAGUAGUACUGACAUGGCUAGUAUGCAUCAGUGCCCUUGGUUUAUAUAACAUAAUCCACUGGAAUCCACAUGUCUAUCAAGCUCUUUCCCCAUAUUACAUGUUUAAGUUCUUGAAGAAAACAAGGAAAGACGGGUGGAUGUCUUUGGGUGGAAUAUUGUUGUGCAUAACAGGUUCAGAGGCAAUGUUUGCUGAUCUUGGUCAUUUCUCUUAUGCUGCAAUUCAGAUUGCUUUCACAUUUAUGGUUUAUCCAGCACUUAUAUUGGCAUAUAUGGGGCAAGCUGCAUAUCUUUCGCAACAUCAUGAUGACAAUAGUCAUAUUGGUUUUUAUAUCUCAGUUCCAGGUAAUACCAUCUUCAUUCUUUUUAAAGGAAACCACAAUGUUAAAUGUGCAUAGUCUUGAUAGGAGGUUACACUACAUGAUUAAUUAGUAUUCACUCCAGUGCAUAUUUGCUGUCCUGCCAAUGCUGACUGAACUUAAAAUGUGUCAACCCUGGCAACUUAAGAAAAUGUAAUGUCUCUAUUUGUUGGGGUCCUGGGGAUUAUUUUCUUCAAAACAUUGGUGGUUGUGUACUUGACUAAGAUAGUGAUGACUUUGGAUGCAGAAAAAUUGAGGUUACCAGUGCUAAUAAUAGCCAUUCUUGCUUCUGUGGUCGGAAGCCAAGCAAUUAUCAGUGGAACAUUCUCUAUCAUAAACCAGAGCCAGUCUCUUGGCUGCUUCCCAAAGGUGAAAGUUGUUCAUACGUCUGAUGAGAUACACGGCCAGAUAUAUAUCCCUGAGAUAAAUUGGAUUCUCAUGGUCCUCUGCAUUGCUGUGACUAUUGGAUUUAGAGACACAAAACACAUGGGAAAUGCAUCAGGUAAGUUGCAUUUGCAUCACCAAUGUUGGCUCUGAUCCUUAUUUUUCUAAUAUAUCAUCAAAUUAGUUUUCCCAUAUCAAUUAAAUUUUUUCAUAUUAUUGGAAAUCAUUUCAAGUUCAUUUCCCUAUUCAUAAGGAGCAGUGUCCAUUUCUAGUUCUAAGUCCUUUGGGGCAUGCCUAGCCUAUCAUUUGCCGAAUUGACUUUGUUAAACAACUUGCUUCAUCUCACAAUUGAUGAUCAAAUUGUUAUUAAGCACCUAAAUUUAUACAAUUAAGAAAUGAAUCUUGACUUUUAAGUUUUACAAUCUCAUGGUUUUCUGUUGCAGGAUUAGCAGUGAUGACGGUAAUGCUAGUGACCACAUGCCUUACUUCCCUGGUUAUCAUCCUCUGUUGGAACAAGCUCCCCAUCAUAGCGCUUUCCUUCCUACUUUUCUUUGGCUCUGUUGAACUGCUCUACUUCUCAGCUUCACUCACCAAGUUCACUGAGGGUGCCUGGCUUCCCAUCCUCUUAGCCCUCUUCCUCAUGACCAUUAUGUUUGUUUGGCAUUAUGCCACCAUUAAAAAAUAUGAAUUUGAUCUCCAUAACAAGGUAUCACUAG
rnacentral:misc_RNA from 1 species